UACAGAGGUCCCAAGCGUUGUUCGGAUUCACUGGGCGUAAAGGGUGCGUGGGCGGUCGGGUAAGUCUGAUGUGAAAUCUCACAGCUUAACUGUGAAACUGCAUUGGAUACUAUCCGGCUAGAGGAAUGGAGGGGAGACUGGAAUACUUGGUGUAGCAGUGAAAUGCGUAGAUAUCAAGUGGAACACCAGUGGCGAAGGCGAGUCUCUGGACAUUUCCUGACGCUGAGGCACGAAAGCCAGGGGAGCAAACGGG
rnacentral:rRNA from 1 species